UACGGAGGGUGCAAGCGUUAAUCGGAAUUACUGGGCGUAAAGCGCACGCAGGUGGCUGAGUCAGUCGAUUGUGAAAGCCCUGGGCUUAACCUGGGAAUUGCAGUCGAUACUACUCAGCUAGAGUAUGGGAGAGGGUAGUGGAAUUCCCGGUGUAGCGGUGAAAUGCGUAGAUAGUCGGGAGGAACAUCAGUGGCGAAGGCGGCUACCUGGCCCAAUACUGACACUCAGGUGCGACGAGCGUGGGGAGCAAACAGGG
rnacentral:rRNA from 1 species